GACUACCGGGACGCAGCAGUGGGGGAUAUUGCACAAUGGGGGAAACCCUGAUGCAGCGACGCCGCGUGGGUGAAGAAGCGCCUCGGCGCGUAAAGCCCUGUCAGCAGGGAAGAAAAUGACGGUACCUGAAGAAGAAGCCCCGGCUAACUACGUGCCAGCAGCCGCGGUAAUACGUAGGGGGCAAGCGUUAUCCGGAUUUACUGGGUGUAAAGGGGGCGCAGACGGCGAUGCAAGCCAGGAGUGAAAGCCCGGGGCCCAACCCCGGGACUGCUCUUGGAACUGCGUGGCUAGAGUGCAGGAGGGGCAGGCGGAAUGACUGGUGUAGCGGUGAAAUGCGUAGAUAUCAGGAGGAACACCGGUGGCGAGGGCGGCCUGCUGGACUGCAACUGACGUUGAGGCCCGAAAGCGUGGGGAGCAAACAGGAUUAGAUACCCCGGUAGUC
rnacentral:rRNA from 1 species